UACGAAGGGGGCUAGCGUUGUUCGGAAUUACUGGGCGUAAAGCGCGCGCAGGCGGUCUUCCAAGUCAGUGGUGAAAGCCCGGAGCUCAACUCCGGAACUGCCAUUGAAACUGUUAGACUUGAGGAUGAGAGAGGUGAGUGGAAUUCCCAGUGUAGAGGUGAAAUUCGUAGAUAUCUGGAGGAACACCGGUGGCGAAGGCGGCAUCCUGGACCAAUUCUGACGCUGAGGAGCGAAAGCCAGGGGAGCAAACGGG
rnacentral:rRNA from 1 species